rnacentral:snoRNA from 1 species
UGCAAUUAACACCACUACAGAUUGGUGGCAGUUUAUGGAUUUGCACAAGAGGAGAGAACUCACAGAACUAGCACUAUUUUAUGCUCUUUCUUUACGGAGGUGUAUCUGGCUGUUUUGUCAGACAUUC